rnacentral:rRNA from 1 species
UACGUAGGGCGCAAGCGUUGUCCGGAAUUAUUGGGUGUAAAGCGCGUGUAGGCGGUUACGUAAGUCUGCUGUGAAAGUCGGAGGCUCAACCUUCGAAAGCCGGUGGAUACUGCGUGACUAGAGUACGGAAGAGGAGAGUGGAAUUCCUGGUGUAGCGGUGAAAUGCGCAGAUAUCAGGAGGAACACCAACGGCGAAGGCAGCUCUCUGGGACGUUACUGACGCUGAGACGCGAAAGCGUGGGGAGCAAACAGG